UAAGGUCUUGGUCUUGAACCUCAUAUUGUCUAAAAUAUUUGUUUAUACAUGCAAGCCUCAACACAGACAGUGAGAACAGACCAUAUCAACAAUAUGAGCCGAUAUCAGUUAUAAACAAUGACACCCAGCAAUAAAGCCACACCCCCACGGGUAUACAGCAGUAGUUAAUAUUAGGCCAUAAGUGAAAACUUGACCUAGCAAAAUACAUAUAGAGCCGGUUAAUCUCGUGCCAGCGACCGCGGUUACACGAAUAAGGCUCAAGACAAUAUAAACGGCGUAAAAGCACGACUAAAACAAAGUACAAACCUUUAGAGGAAACUAACCUGCCCGGCUGUAAAAAGCCAUAAGCUACAAUAAUCACUCUAAAUCACUGACCUUUUUGACUCGCAAAAGCUGGGGUAUAAACUAAGAUUAGAUACCUUACUAUACCCAGCCACAACACACAAUUAAAAUACUAAUUGUUCGCCAAAUAACUACGAGUAGUAACUUAAAACUUAAAAGACUUGACGGUGCUUCACCACAACCUAGAGGAGCCUGUCUAAUAACCGAUAACCCACGAUUAACCCGACCCCUUCUCGCCAACAGUCUAUAUACCACCGUCGUAAGCUUACCCUAUAAACGGUACAAAGUGAGCUACAUAGUUUUACACUAAAACGACAGGUCGAGGUGUAACCCAUGAAGGGGGCAAAGAUGGGCUACAUUCUCUUAUCAGAGAACACGAAUUUCACUAUGAAUAUAGUGACUGAAGGAGGAUUUAGCAGUAAGAUAGGAAUAAAACACCUAACUGAACAUAAAGCAAUGAAGUGCGUACACACCGCCCGUCAUCCCUGCCUACACCAUAUUAAUCUAUAUAAACCUAAUUAAAAUCUCUAACCAGGGCAAGUCGUAACAUGGUAAGUGUACUGGAAAGUGCACUUAGAAA
rnacentral:ncRNA from 1 species